rnacentral:misc_RNA from 1 species
GAUGAGAACGCAGCGAAAUGCGAUAAGUAAUGUGAAUUGCAGAAUUCAGUGAAUCAUCGAAUCUUUGAACGCACCUUGCGCUCCUUGGUAUUCCGAGGAGCAUGCCUGUUUGAGUGUCAUUAAAUUCUCAACCUCAUCAGUUUUGUUAUGAAGCUGUGUGAGGCUUGGAUGUGGGGGUUUGUGCAGGCUGCCUCAGUGCGGUCUGCUCCCCUGAAAUGUAUUAGCGAGUUCCAACUGGGCUCCGUCUAUUGGUGUGAUAAUUAUCUACGCCGUGGAUUGGGCUUAGACUUGCUUCUAACCGUCCGCAAGGACAAUCUUUUGACAAUUUGACCUCAAAUCAGGUAGGACUACCCGCUGAACUUAAGCAUAUCAAUAAGCGGAGGA